rnacentral:rRNA from 1 species
CUUAACACAUGCAAGUCGAGGGGAAACGAUAUUGGAAGCUUGCUUCCGAUAGGCGUCGACCGGCGGACGGGUGAGUAACGCGUGGGUAACCUGCCUCACACUGGGGGAUAGCCUUGCGAAAGUAAGAUUAAUACCCGAUGGUAUUGGAUUUCCGCAUGGGGAUUCAAUUAAAGGUGAAAAUUGGUAAAGGAUGGGGAUGCGUUCCAUUAGGCAGUUGGCGGGGUAACGGCCCACCAAACCGACGAUGGAUAGGGGUUCUGAGAGGAAGGUCCCCCACAUUGGUACUGAGACACGGACCAAACUCC